rnacentral:rRNA from 1 species
UACGAAGGGGGCUAGCGUUGCUCGGAAUCACUGGGCGUAAAGCGCACGUAGGCGGCUUGUUAAGUCAGGGGUGAAAUCCUGGAGCUCAACUCCAGAACUGCCUUUGAUACUGGCGAGCUUGAGUUCGGGAGAGGUGAGUGGAACUGCGAGUGUAGAGGUGAAGUUCGUAGAUAUUCGCAAGAACACCAGUGGCGAAGGCGGCUCACUGGCCCGA